rnacentral:misc_RNA from 1 species
AACGCAUAUUGCGCCCUUUGGUAUUCCGAAGGGCAUGCCUGUUCGAGCGUCAUUAUCAACUAUUAAGCCUGGCUUGUCGUUGGACCUUUUUGGCUGAAAUAUGCCGUAGGUCCGAAAUAUAAUGACGGUGUCAUGUUUGACCCUAGAUGCAACGAGCUUUUUAUAGCACGCAUUGAAGUUUGGAUGACCCCGGUCUUAACCAUUAUUUUCUAAGGUUGACCUCGGAUCAGGUAGGAAUACCCGCUGAACUUAA